UCUGACGGAGCACGCCGCGUGAGUGAUGAAGGUUUUCGGAUCGUAAAGCUCUGUUGUUAGGGAAGAACAAGUGCGAGAGUAACUGCUCGCACCUUGACGGUACCUAACCAGAAAGCCACGGCUAACUACGUGCCAGCAGCCGCGGUAAUACGUAGGUGGCAAGCGUUGUCCGGAAUUAUUGGGCGUAAAGGGCUCGCAGGCGGUUUCUUAAGUCUGAUGUGAAAGCCCCCGGCUCAACCGGGGAGGGUCAUUGGAAACUGGGAAACUUGAGUGCAGAAGAGGAGAGUGGAAUUCCACGUGUAGCGGUGAAAUGCGUAGAGAUGUGGAGGAACACCAGUGGCGAAGGCGACUCUCUGGUCUGUAACUGACGCUGAGGAGCGAAAGCGUGGGGAGCGAACAGGAUUAGAUACCCUGGUAGUCCACGCCGUAAACGAUGAGUGCUAAGUGUUAGGGGGUUUCCGCCCCUUAGUGCUGCAGCUAACGCAUUAAGCACUCCGCCUGGGGAGUACGGUCGCAAGACUGAAACUCAAAGGAAUUGACGGGGGCCCGCACAAGCGGUGGAGCAUGUGGUUUAAUUCGAAGCAACGCGAAGAACCUUACCAGGUCUUGACAUCCUCUGACAACCCUAGAGAUAGGGCUUUCCCUUCGGGGACAGAGUGACAGGUGGUGCAUGGUUGUCGUCAGCUCGUGUCGUGAGAUGUUGGGUUAAGUCCCGCAACGAGCGCAACCCUUGAUCUUAGUUGCCAGCAUUCAGUUGGGCACUCUAAGGUGACUGCCGGUGACAAACCGGAGGAAGGUGGGGAUGACGUCAAAUCAUCAUG
rnacentral:rRNA from 1 species